UUACUUAUCAAAUCCAUUACACAGACGCACAACUACUCGGAAUUAAUUGACAUAUAGAAAGUAUUGUCCUUGUUAGGCAACAGAGAGUGGGAAAGGUUGUGUCGAUUUUGUACUGUCAUUGCUGGUAAAUUAUGCAGGCCAUAACUGGCCAGGGACAUCUGAUUGUGCACGCACAGCUAGGAAUAAAUUAAUAAUAAGGGUAGUGAUACACAUACACGGAGAGAAGACCCACUAGGAGACAAUGUGAUGAAUCACUGCUAUCCC
rnacentral:lncRNA from 1 species